ACCUCACCCCCUUUCGCCUGUCACCGCGGGCCGGUGCGCAUGCGCGCUGCCUCGUCCCUCGGGGCGCCGUACCGGGUACCUUCCACGCGGCCGCCGCCUUCCCGCCGUCCCCCGCGCGGGGGCGCGCGCGCAUCGCCUCAGCGGGCCGGGCCGGGCCGGGCUGGGCCGCGCGAGGAGGCGGCGGCGGCGGCGAUCGCCUCCGCCCGCGGGAGCCCAGGGAGCGCUUUCUCCCGUGCCCCUUUCUGCGUGGUGGCGAGCUGAGAGCAGCUGCCUCCGGGCCGGAGCGCCCGCCGGCCCGUCUGCUGGAGCCGCCGGGAUGCUGCCUGCGGCGCCGCCUCGCCCCGGUUCUAUCCUGCCGCGUGGAAUACUUGUCUUGCGAAGCUGUGUGUCUGGCGUUGGAAGCAAAUUCCGCUUGCAGCGUGAUCCUGGACUAGUUACUUGAGAUGAAAAUACUAAAUUCUUUUUUGUUAAUUUUUUUAAAGAGCUGAGAACAUUAAAUUCCAGUUCAGGGGAAUAGUGGCUGCAUGAACAGGAGCUCUGAGAGGCAUCCCAAGUGUUGUAAGCUAAGCUUCCAGUAAGACAUCCAAAAUUAAAAUCGCUUUGGAAGAUUUAAGCCAAAGUUUAAGAUCUGAUAAAGGGCUUAAGUGGCUCAGUGAGGCAACCAUUGGACCAGAUCACAAAAUUAGGCAUCUUUUCUUCCUAUUCAGCAAAAAUGAUGAGAGAGAAGAGCAGUCAAAGCCUUUGUGCCAAGUGAGAAGCUGCCCCUAAACUUCUGAGCUUCAUUUGCACCAUCUCUGCAAUGGGAAUAAUUGCAAAUAUUUUAAUAAUAGAUGCAUAUUAAAAAUCCAUAAAAUGCCCCCUUUAAUACUAUCUGCUAUCAAAUAUACUAAAACUGUUUCUAUAUAUGAGAGACCUGUAGGUAGCACACUUCAUUUGCUGCAAGCUGCUGCUAGCAGCAAACAGCUGUUCCCAAACCAGUUAAUUAAACUACAGCAAAAACUAGAAUAUUAGCUCAGAUAGUUCAGGAUUCUCCCUUUCCUUUCUACAGUAGGGAAUGCAUGCUGAAUAGACCACAUCAGUUUUUUUUAAAAAAGAACUCCUAUAUUUAAUACCUCCUUAACAGUGUUAUUGAGAUGGAUUAAUUAUUCUUUGUUCUGGUCUCUGAAGAUAAAGAGUAAUUAUUAUUAAUUACAUGUAAUUGAAAAAUUGCUCCUCCACAAAGAAUCCAAUAACAGUUAAUGGGAUUUUUACUUCUUGCCACCUAUAGGGAGGAGUACAACAUUCCACAGUGUUAUAGCAGAGGCUGCCAUAAACUUAAUCAUGGCCUCAGAGAGUUUCAUUAGAUUUCCAGCCUGCACUUUAGACCAGUCUUUUCAGCUAUAACCAGUCUCAAAGCGAGCUAGUGAGAUAGGACUCCGCAUUUUGUUCAGUGCUGAGUGGCCACUUAAGCGAAAGAAGACGCAAUCUGUAAAGCUGGUUGCAAUUGAUAAAGCCGCAAGAUUUUUUUUGAAUAAGCUUCCAGAAACCUGUGGAAAAAACACUGGCUAAGACCGGCUCCUGUACUCAGCAAGAUGCAUCUGCUUGCAUUGCCGUGCACUGGACAGUCCUUUCUCCAAGUGGCUUCGCGUUCACCUCUGCCAGCCUAGAGCAGCGCAGGACCAGAGGUGCCGUCCGCAGAGCCAUCCGCUCUGCCUCGCGAGAGAGGCGAGGAAAAGCUGUGCCAGACAUCCCGCACGUGGCAGCGGACCGGCAUCCCAGCAGCUUCUUACAGCCCAGGCCGACACGGGGCUGCCAGGGGCUGACAGCGGCUCUGCUUGUGCCGGUGUCAGCUCGGUGCAAGGAGCGUGUCCGUCACGGCCGAGGCGGGGUGCGUGGAUCCCGGCCCGCUGGCCGAGCCCCCCAGCCCUCCUGUCGAACGCUGAUAAAUUUUAGCUGCCGCCUCCCGUGCCCAGCACAGGAACAGAAAGCCCCUCGAGAGCAGAGCAGGGUGCAGCGUGCGAGUGCAGAUUUGGGUGGGAGGAAUCAACGCCAACUGCUUUUUUUGCUGCCAAGCUAAUUUGGGGGCUGACAUAGGCUGAAGAAGUCCAGUGCAAACAGAUUUCCAGAGGCAACUGCUGCUACAGAUUGAAGAAGACAGAAAACACUGGAAGCAUCUGACCCAUUUUGGGAAGCUUGCUGGGGUUUUUGUUCUGUGUUUUUUUGUUUAUUUUUUUUUUAGACGUGUUUGCACCUGCGUCAAAGAGGCUCUAAAUAUUUGUCACUUUUUCUAAUUAUGCACACUGCGAAGAUAGAAGCAAGCUAAAAAAAGUCUUGAUGCAUUUGCUAGGCGGAUUCCACCAGCUGCCCCGAGGGCAGGGGAGUCUGCGCUGGGACUCGGGAUGAUUUCUGCCUGCUGUCGGUGGGUCCCGUGCUAACGCUUCUGGUGAUGCGUGUAGCAGCCUUCUUGCAGGGCCUGAUGGCAUCUUCCGCAGUGAGAUGAUUUGGGGCGGUUGACCCAGGGCACAUCCCUCAGGCCACCCAGACAAAAUCCUGCAGAGCACAUACUGGAACUCAAGCAGUUGUUGCUAUGUGACCUUCUCUGUCCCUGUUUCAUACUUGUGAUGCUUAAAAGAUCAUGUUUAUCCUGCUGUAACAUUAGUGACUUAAUUAGAGCUGAAUUUGGUCCUACUGCCUCUGAACAUGAGCAGCUUCCAUCAAGUCAUCUAAAGCAUCAGAUCUAGUUUCUUCUCUCUCUCCGUACUGGUGGCAUCUGGUUUCAUUUUCCGUCUUUCCUAGGAGAGCUCACUUUUCCCCACAUUUCAGCGUGUGCCUGCUGUGUGUCAGCACCCAGGGCUGCCUGUGUCUCGGUGCCAAGCCAAGCACCGCUCCUCCAGCAGGCAAAGUGCACAAUUACGUAGAGACAGAAUGGGAGACGCAUCACGAGUGGGUGUUGUGGACUGCAGGUAGCUUAUAACUAGUGUCCGCUUAGGGGCCAAGAAACCAAGCUGGAAGCAGUUAAGUUUGUUUCUCUGUGUAGGAUAUGUAGAGGUGGCAAAGUUUUCAUCCUGUUAGCGUCACAGGAGCCGUUAUUUUUGCAAAGCAUGACUCCUCUUCGUUGGUGUAACAGGCACCCUUCUCCGGGUGACUAGCGGGGUGGGCCGUUACUGACGGAAGAGCAGGACUAACAGGAGAUGCGGUGCGCUCAGUGCCGUCACUUAAUGUCCGGCACUGUCUGCAUGACAACGAUUUAUUUCUAAAUGUGCUGACACUGGAAAUUCUGUAUGUUUGAUGAUUUUCUCUGCAAGAGACUGAUUGAUCCUUUUAACUUCUUCCUUCUCUCUCCCUCUCCCCACCGCAACCACUUGGCCAAAACAACUCCCUCAGCUUUGUUUUUGGAAAACAGGGGGGCAGCUAUUUAAGUAGCAGUUAUGAAGUUCUUUUUGUAAGAUGUAGGCCUUCAAAAAAGCAUAAGAUGAUGAUUUUGAGUGUUUAUUGGAUUCCUCUAAAGCAUACUUUCAACUUCAGCGCUUUCAGCAUUUUGACGUAUAUUGCUGUGUGUCAUAGACAUUAAUGAAAUCAGUCUAAAAUCAUUUUAUUUAAUUAAUUUACUUAAAUCAUACAUAUUAAGCUCUAUUAUUUUUGUCUUUUAUUUUGGAGACUUGCAGGGUGCAGUUAUUUCUCCAUAAGCAUGAGGGCAAGAAACGUAAUUUGUCUUUCAAAUGGUAUCUGAGACUCUCAGGAUAUCACCCUGGAGUGAAGCUUGUUCUUCAAUAAAAUUACAGGAGUUUAUAGCAUGGAUAGAAAGCUCCUGCUCCUGUUCCCUCCUACUCCACACUACUCUCCAAGAGAAAGAUACCACAGUGACAAACACAGAAAAUAUUUCUUGUGAAGGACAUAUAAUAAAUCUCAAAAUCAGUUCUUUAGUAAGUCUUUUGCACGUUAUAGCUUUAUACAGGAGAAGAUGUUCAGAGGACGGGAUAUAAGUAAAUUUAGAUUAAGUAAUGGACGUAAGGACUUCGGAUGCAAGCAGACUGGCUUUCUGGCUGUCAGCGCUGUGCAACCGUGUCGCCAAUAUCCACUCUGAUGUUUUCUUUAUUAUUAUUCAUAAGCUCCUAUUCUUAACAGCAAUCAAACUCUUCAGGCUGUGCUGUCGUGGGGAUUAUCACACUUGCAGGGCGGUUAAAGUCACUUCGCCUGGAGUCUUCUGCCUCCGAAGAGUGCCCAGGGCUAAUCACUGCGAAAUGCGACGCCUGUCAUGUCUUCUCGUUCAAGAGCUGGAAUUCCCUGUGCCUGGAGUAGCCAAGGAAUGACCUCGAUCAGGAUGAAACAGACCUGGAUGUUGGAGAGGUACCUGAUCUCAGAUUUUACAGAGUUGAUAAAAUGGUACCUAGAGCUGUUGGUUUAUCCUUUCAACAGCUGCCUUGUCUCCAUCCCCUUCGGUGCCUUAGGCAGCAGUGAGCUCCCACUUGCUGUAUGAAGCGUAGCCUGCUCCCCUGCCCGUCCCACCACCUCUCCUCUGCCGGAGGCUGACGACGCUCCGGGGGUCUGCUGGGGAUCCCAGCGAUGGGCGCUCUACGGCCAGGGAAUCCACCGGGAGAGGCAUCCCGCGUCGGCUCCGUGAUCCCAGAACCAAGAGGGCCAGGAGGGGAAACCGAGAGUACGUGUACUUGUCAGAGACUAAAAGGGAUUUACCUCCCUGCAAUUCCAAUUGCUUGUUUUGUAUCUGGGGAAAAUCCCUUCUGACAGCCCAGGCAGAGAGCUUCUAAUUCCUGUCUCCGGCUCAUUUUUCACUUCAAUCCCUCAGCGAAAGGAUUUUAAUGCUUGAUGGAUUCAAACAAAAUUAUUUCUGUUCCUGUGGCUUUGCAAAAGCCUCUAGGGGUGUGCGUGUGUGCGCGCGCAGAGGAGGAGGGAUGGGGCUUGUUUUCGUUACACUCCAAUAAACCUCCUCUCCAAGGGA